rfam:Capsicum annuum cultivar Zunla-1 unplaced genomic scaffold scaffold4217, whole genome shotgun sequence
UCUGGUGUCCUAGGCGUAGAGGAACCACACCAAUCCAUCCCGAACUUGGUGGUUAAACUCUACUACGGUGACGAUACUGUAGGGGAGGUCCUACGAAAAAAUAGCUUGACGCCGGGA